GACGAACGCUGGCGGCGUGCUUAACACAUGCAAGUCGAACGGAAAGACCCUGCUUUUGUGGGGUGCUUGAGUGGCGAACGGGUGAGUAACACGUGAGUAACAUGCCCUUGUCUUUCGGAUAACUUCAGGAAACUGGGGCUCAUACAGGAUAGGAGCUUCUGCUGCACGGUGGGCGAUGGAGAGUUUCGGUCGUUGGGGAUCGAAUAGCGGCUUAUGCGCUUGUUGGUGGAGUAGUGGCUUUCAAAGGCUUUGACGGGUAGCCGGCCUUAGAGGGUGACCGGCCACAUUGGUACUGAGAUACGGCGCAGACUCCUACGGGAGGCAGUAGUGGGGAAUAUUGCACAGUGGCCGGAAGCCUGAUGUAGCAACGCUGCGUUCGUGAUGCCGUCCUACGAGUUGUAAACCUCUUUCGCCGGUGACGAAGCGUGAGUGACGGUAAUUGGUAAAGAAGCACCGGCUAACUACGUG
rnacentral:rRNA from 1 species